UCUCCGUUGGUGAACCAGCGGAGGGAUCAUUGCUGGAACAAACGCCCUCACGGGUGCUACCCAGAAACCCUUUGUGAAUCAUACCUAAAAAUGUUGCCUCGGCAUGGUUGGCUUCUUCUAGAAGUCCCUUUUUUCGGAGAGGAGCAGACCGGCCGGCGGCCCUAUAAACUCUUUGUUUUUGUAAAUCUUCUGAGUAAAACAACUAAAAAUGAAUCAAAACUUUCAACAACGGAUCUCUUGGUUCUGGCAUCGAUGAAGAACGCAGC
rnacentral:misc_RNA from 1 species